rnacentral:lncRNA from 1 species
CGAAGCGGAGCGGUGUGUGGCCACUGAUUCUUAGCCAUUGCAUGUUUUUGAGGGCCUAUUCUAGGAUCUGCGAUAAGAGCAUCAACUGACAUGUUUAUUAGCGCUAAAAUCUAUGCACACAAUGCAUUCAAAUCAAUAAUUAUUAUAAUUAACAAGCGCCUCUUCCUAUAAUAAAGUGUAUUUUUAAAUCCAAAGUGGACUGCCACCUGGAGAAUGUUUUGCAGUCGACCAUAAUAAAAAAAUCAUAAAAAUGUAUCCAGUAAAUUUAUCAUCUGUGCGCAGGGCUGGCAGCGGGAUUGUGCCUUAUGAUUGUGCAAUUAAAUGGCCCCAAACUGCCCGCAGUCAACGUCUGGUGCGGCUGACGAGAAAAGAGCAGUAACAGCCAGCCAGCCAGUCUCCGAAUGGCCACUUGAUGCACAUUUUAGCAGUGUCAUUCCUCACACUCGUAGUAGUAGCAGCAGUCACUGGGGGAGACUGCAUUGUCUGCUUUAGUACUCACACAUAGAAACCCAUGCCAAAU